rnacentral:rRNA from 1 species
GACGAACGCUGGCGGCGUGCUUAACACAUGCAAGUCGAACGAUGAAGCUGGAGCUUGCUCCGGUGGAUUAGUGGCGAACGGGUGAGUAACACGUGAGAAAUCUGCCCUUGACUCUGGGAUAACUGCGGGAAACUGUAGCUAAUACCGGAUACUUUCCCUGGUGGGCAUCCACUGGGGAAGAAAGAAUUUCGGUCAAGGAUGAUCUCGCGGCCUAUCAGCUAGUUGGUGAGGUAAUGGCUCACCAAGGCGACGACGGGUAGCCGGCCUGAGAGGGUGACCGGCCAGACUGGGACUGAGACACGGCCCAGACUCCUACGGGAGGCAGCAGUGGGGAAUAUUGCACCAUGGGCGCAAGCCUGAUGCAGCAACGCCGCGUGAGGGAUGAAGGCCUUCGGGUUGUAAACCUCUUUUAGCAGGGAAGAAGCGAAAGUGACGGUACCUGCAGAAAAAGCACCGGCUAACUACGUGCCAGCAGCCGCAGUAA